rfam:Callithrix jacchus chromosome 4, whole genome shotgun sequence
GUGCUCGCUUCAGCAGCACCUAUCUGAAAACUGGAACUAUACAGAGAAGAUUAACAUGGCCCCUGUGCAAGGAUGACAGGCAAAUUAUGUGAAGCAUUCCAUUUAAAA